rnacentral:rRNA from 1 species
GAUGAACGCUGGCGGCGUGCCUAAUACAUGCAAGUCGAGCGAACAGAUGAGGAGCUUGCUCCUCUGACGUUAGCGGCGGACGGGUGAGUAACACGUGGAUCACCUACCUAUAAGACUGGGAUAACUUCGGGAAACCGGAGCUAAUACCGGAUAAUAUAUUGAACCGCAUGGUUCAAUAGUGAAAGACGGUUUUGCUGUCACUUAUAGAUGGAUCCGCGCCGCAUUAGCUAGUUGGUAAGGUAACGGCUUACCAAGGCAACGAUGCGUAGCCGACCUGAGAGGGUGAUCGGCCACACUGGAACUGAGACACGGUCCAGACUACUACGGGAGGCAGCAGUAGGGAAUCGUACGCAAUGGGCGAAAGCCUGACGGAGCAACGCCGCGUGAGUGAUGAAGGUCUUCGGAUCGUAAAACUCUGUUAUUAGGGAAGAACAAAUGUGUAAGUAACUAUGCACGUCUUGACGGUAACUAAUCAGAAAGCCACGGCUAACUACGUG